UCAAAUAGAGAAGAGCACGAGGCGGAUGCCUAGGCACAUGACGCCGAAGAAGGACGCGAGCAGGCGAUAACGACGGUAAGCUGCACAGAGCUAUGACCCGUCGGUUUCCGAAUGGAGCAAUCCGGCAGGAGAAGAUCCUGUCAUCCUAACGCCAAUCCAUAACGUUAGGAGGGGAGACCCGGAGAACUGAAACAUCUCAGUACCCGGAGGAAAAGAAAGCAACAGCGAUUCCCUCAGUAGCGGCGAGCGAACGGGGAAGAGGCCAACAGUGAAUCACGAUUUUGAAAUCUAGUGGAACAUUCUGGAAAGGAUGACCAAAGACGGUGACAGUCCAGUACACGAAAGAGGAAGGAAUCAUCACGAACGAGUACCACCGAACACGAGAAAUUUGGUGGGAAGAUGGGAGGACCACCUCCUAAGCCUAAAUACGAUCAUGUGACCGAUAGUGAACAAGUACCGUGAGGGAAAGGUGAAAAGAACCCCGAGAGGGGAGUGAAAAGAAUCUGAAACCUUGUGCUUACAAGCAGAUAGAGCCCUUUUAUAGGGUGAUAUCGUACUUUUUGUAGAACGGGCCAGCGAGUUAUGUUUACAAGCGAGGUUAAGCCUUUCAGGGGCGGAGCCGGAGGGAAACCGAGUGUGAAGAGCGCGAAAGUUUGUGGACAUAGACCCGAAACCGGGUGAUCUAGCCAUGAGCAGGUUGAAGUUGAAGUAAAAUUCAAUGGAGGACCGAACCGGGAGCGGUUUAAAACGCUUCGGAUGACUUGUGGUUAGGGGUGAAAAGCCAAUCGAACUCGGAGAUAGCUGGUUCUCCUCGAAAUUGCUUUAGGGCAAGCCUCAUGAGACGAUGCAGGGAGGUAGAGCACUGACUGGUCGCGGGGCACUUUGUGUUACCAACACCUAUCAAACUUCGAAUUCCGUGCAUUAGCCAUGGGAGUGAGACGGUGAGGGAUAAGCUUCAUCGUCGAAAGGGAAACAGCCCAGAUCAUCAGCUAAGGUCCCUAAAUGACGUUCAGUGGAAAAGGAUGUUAGUUUACUUGGACAACCAGGAUGUUGGCUUAGAAGCAGCCAUACAUUUAAAGAGUGCGUAAUAGCUCACUGGUCGAGUGAAUUUGCGCCGAAGAUACACGGGGCUAAACGUCAUACCGAAGCUAUGGGAUGGAUCGAGACAAAAAGUAUUUUAUGAAAGCUUUCCAAAAUUGAUGAGAAAUAUCGCACACAAAGAGUCAAAUUUCAACAAACAUGAGAUACGACAGAACAAAGAGCCAAAUGGUAUAAGGUUAUUCCAAGAUAUCAUUCAUCAAUUUCAUUGGGCUAAUAAGGGAAGGCGUAUUCAUAGAAUACUUUUUGUCUCGACCAUCGGUAGAGGAGCAUCGACUGGGCAUAGAAGCAUCAGGGGUAACCCAAUGUGGAGCGCAGUCGAGAGAGAAUGCUGGCAUGAGUAGCGAGAAGGUGAGUGAGAAUCUCACCCGUCGAAAGCCGAAGGGUUCCUGAGCAAGGCUCGUCCUCUCAGGGUAAGUCGGGACCUAAGCUGAGGCCGAAGGGCGUAGGCGAUGGACAACCGGUGGAAAUUCCGGUACAGUAAAGAAUCGUUUGAGAGAAGUGUUGACGCAGGAAGCUAAGCAAAGCGCGUAGAAGGUAAGCGCGUCCAACGCAGUAGGCUAGUCCGGUAGGCAAAUCCGUCGGAUGGUGCUAAGCGCGGAUGGGGAUCGAAAUGAGAGUAGAGAAGUUGCUGAUGCUACACUGCCAAGAAAAGACGCUAUCGAGAUUUUUUGCUCCCGUACCAAAACCGACACAGGUAGGCAGGAAGAAUAUUCUAAGACGCGCGGAAGAACCUUUGUUAAGGAACUCGGCAAAAUGACCCCGUAACUUCGGGAGAAGGGGUGCCAUCUUCGGAUGGCCGCAGAGAAUCGGCCCAAGCGACUGUUUACCAAAAACACAAGUAUCUGCAAAGCCGCAAGGCGAAGUAUAGGUGCUGACACCUGCCCGGUGCUGGAAGGUCAAGGGGAGCUGUUAGAAGCAAUUCGAAGCAGUGAACUUAAGCCCCAGUAAACGGCGGCCGUAACUAUAACGGUCCUAAGGUAGCGAAAUUCCUUGUCGGGUAAGUUCCGACCCGCACGAAAGGUGUAACGAUUUGGGCACUGUCUCAACAAAGGAUCCGGUGAAAUUGUAGUAGUCGUGAAGAUGCGACUUACCCACGCUAGGACGGAAAGACCCCAUGGAGCUUUACUGCAGGUUGACAUUGGACUUUGGUUUGUAAUGUACAGGAUAGGUGGGAGACUAGGAAACAUUGUCGCCAGAUGAUGCGGAGUCGCCCUUUGGAUACCACCCUUUACAGACUAGGGUUCUAACCUAGGACCGUGAACCGGUUCGGGGACACUGUCAGUCGGACAGUUUGACUGGGGCGGUCGCCUCCCAAAGAGUAACGGAGGCGUUCAAAGGUUCGCUCAGGAUGGACAGAAACCAUUCAACGAGUAUAAAGGCAAAAGCGAGCUUCACUGCGAGACCCACAAGUCGAGCAGAUACGAAAGUAGGACUUAGUGAUCCGGUGGUACCGCGUGGAAGGGCCAUCGCUUAACGGAUAAAAGCUACCCUGGGGAUAACAGGCUUAUACCCCCCAAGAGUUCACAUCGACGGGGGUGUUUGGCACCUCGAUGUCGGCUCGUCUCAUCCUGGAGCUGGAGCAGGUUCCAAGGGUUGGGCUGUUCGCCCAUUAAAGAGGUACGCGAGCUGGGUUCAGAACGUCGUGAGACAGUUCGGUCCCUAUCCAGCGUGGGCGUAAGAAAUUUGAGAGGAGCUGUCCCUAGUACGAGAGGACCGGGAUGGACGAACCGAUGGUGUACCGGUUGUUCUGCCAAGGGCAUAGCCGGGUAGCUACGUUCGGACGGGAUAAGCGCUGAAGGCAUCUAAGCGCGAAGCCCCCCUCAAGAUGAGAUUUCUAAGAGACCGGGAAGAAAACCCGGUUGAUAGGUCCGAGGUGGAAGCGCAGUAAUGCGUGGAGCUAACGGAUACUAAUCUCUCGAACAUUUGACCAG
rnacentral:rRNA from 1 species